rnacentral:lncRNA from 1 species
CCUCUUCUCUAUUACGAUUGUUCUACAUCAAAACCCUACACCUCUUCCUCUUCUCUACAUUACGAUUGCAGGCUCGCUCGUUUGCUCGCCGCUCGUUUGCUCGCCGGGGCUCGUUCCCAUCGGUGGUCUUGUAUCCCAUAAUCUACAGGGGCACGUUUGCAUUUGAAUCACUAGGUAUGUGUAUAGAUCGACAAAUAUGUCGCGUGAUAGAAACUGGAUGUACAUGAAGAGAACCACUAGUGAGGGUCUCUUCGAUCCGACAUUCCAACAUCAUGUCAACUUUUUCUUGGAUUAUGCAUAUGCUAACGCACCUAACAUUCAAAGAGAACUAAUAGAUGGGGUCGAUGUUUCUAAAAUAAGAUGUCCAUGUGGCAAAUGCCAAAUUCCUCGUUUCAAGAAGAGAUUUGAGGUUGUUG